rnacentral:piRNA from 1 species
UGACAUGCCACAUUUGUUCUUCAAGGUGUC